ACAGUGUUUGCUAACCUGAGGAUUCACUUGGUUCUCACAGCGGGGGUUAAAAGACGGACGAGAGACAGGUCACGUGUACUGUAUGUGAGGUGGCAGAAUCUCAUUGGACAAGACAGGAAGAGCAAGCGGAGCCUUGUGGGAAGAAUACUAGGGUGAUGACGUGUGUUAUUGAGCGGAAGCCAAUGCGCGGAGUAGACGUGUUUUGAUGAGCAGAGCAGCUGCACUGGAGAGUCGAGCGGUCCCCGCAAGGCGGUGGAGAGUUAUGCUGCAAAGCCAAAGCAGCGGGGUGCUUCCACAAAGUUGUGAGAGCCAGGAAAGUGAGCAUGGGACGCCGCAGCCAGGAACCGGACACCGCCAGGUCUGUACAGACCCAUGGAUGCUGCGGCCAUCUUAAAGAGGUUGUAGCUGAGUGGUGACGAGUGUGGAUGCGGAGUUGCCCUGGAGAAGCUGAGUGAGUUACAGAAACUGUUUGUUGUAAACAGCUGGAGGGUGAUGCAAGCUAACAAAAUGAAUAGGAUGGUCUCAUUUAUUUAUCUUUCCUAGAAAUGAAAUGUAAAAAACACUACGGAAAACAUGAACAAGUUAAACUGCUGUACAUGCGGAAUAAAAGGGCGAGCACAACGGCAAGCUGCUGCUGCUGCUGGGAGGCAACACCAGGCCCCUUCUCAGGCCCCCUCCCCUUCUGUCUCCCCCUCCCCCUCUCCAGCCCACUCCCCCUCUCCAGCCCACACCCCCUCCAGCCCACACCCCCUCUCCAGCCCACACCCCCUCUCCAGCCACCUCACCCUCUCCGGCCCACCCCCCCUCUCCAGCCACCUCACCCUCUCCGGCCCACACCCCCUCUCCGCCCACCUCACCCUCUCCGGCCCAAUCCCACUCUCUUUCCCUAUCCCCCUCUCCAGCCCAAUCCCACUCUCUUUCCCAAUCCCCCUCUCCAGCCCAAUCCCACUCUCUCUCCCAAUCCCCCUCUCCAGCCCAAACCCACUCUCCCGACCAAUCCCCCUCUCCAGCCCAAUCCCACUCUCCCGACCAAUCCCCCUCUCCAGCCCAAUCCCACUCUCCCGAUCAAUCACCCUCUCCAUCCCAAUCCCACUCUCUUCCCCAAUUCCCCUCUCUGCCCCCCUCCCCCUCUGUGUCCCAAAAAACCACUCCACCACCCUCACCCUAUCAUUCCCAAACCCCCUCUCUAAGGUCCUCCCCCUUCCAUACUCUUACACAAUUAGACCCUCCUUCCCCCAUCCUGCCUCCUUCCCCCAUCUAGCACCCAUCCCCCAUCCAGCCAACCUCACCCAUCCAGCCUCCAUCCCCCAGCCAGCCACCUUCGCCACCAUGUGAAUGGGAAGCAGAGGCCCCGGAGCCACUUGAGGGAGGUGGGCAAGUGGCAGAGGAGAAUGUGGCAGUUGGAGAUCCCAGCAGUUUGCCGGAGAUUGUUUCCCGCCUUAAAGGCAAUCUGAGGGCCGUCAUAGCGGACUUAGAACUUUUUGAAUCAUUUUUAUAAUUUUUUUUUAUUUGAAAAUAUUUACAUUAGUUUAAAAAAAUAACAAAAAAUAAAAUAAAAUUGAUUUUGAAGUUAA